rnacentral:siRNA from 1 species
AGAAGGUACAAACAUCGUGAUGGU